rnacentral:rRNA from 1 species
AUGGAGCUCCUCGUAAUCCCCGUCCUGCUGGCGGCCAUGGCCAUUGCCUUGACCUAUCUGGCCUGGACGGCCGCCUCCCGUCGCCGGUGUUCACAGUGCUACCUCCUCGAUUACGUCUGCUACAAACCACCAGACGACCGCAAGGUGACGACGGAUAUGGGGGUCGCACUGGCCGAGCGUAACAAGCGGCUCGGCGCCUCUGAGUUACGCUACCUCUUCCGCCUAACGUCUCGCGCCGGUCUGGGUGAGCAGACCUACCUCCCCUUUGGUCUCUUGGCCGGCCGCGAGAAGUGCCUCACCCAUCAGGACGCGCUCGACGAGAUGGACGCCUUCAUCAUCGACGCCGUCGCCGGUCUCUUCGCCAAUACCCGAUUCGGCCCCCGUGACGUGGACGUGCUCGUGGUCAACGUCAACAUGUUCAACCCGGAGCCUUGCCUUGCCUCGCGGAUCGGGCACCACUACGGAAUGCGCGAGGACGUUGCCGCGUACAAUGUCUCCGGCAUGGGCUGCAGCGCCACGCUCGUCUCUUUGGAUAUCGUCCAGAACGUCAUGCGGGCACGGUCGCCGCGCCCCGUGCUUGCGCUGGUGCUGUCGACGGAGGUGCUCUCGCCUGGAAACUACCAGGGCACGGACAGGUCCAUGAUGCUGGGACUAUGCCUUUUCCGCUGCGGCGGGGCAGCGGCGCUGCUCACCAGCGACCCCGCGCUGGGUGGACGCGCGAAGAUGAAGCUACGUCGCCUCGUGCGUGCCAACGUGGCCGCCAACGACGAUGCGUACUCCGCCAUCUUUCAGCGCGAGGACGCAGACAACAUAACCGGGUUCAGCAUCAACAAGACCCUCCCAAAGGCUGCCGUCCGAGCGUUCGCCGCCAACCUGAAACGCCUCGUCCCUUACGUCCUCCCUGCUAGGGAGCUCCUCCGGCUUGCCGCCAGCUUUACGUGGCAGAAAAUGCAGCGCCGCCAGCGAGUGAAGAUCAAUGUCAACUUAAAGACCGGGGUCGACCAUUUCUGCCUCCACUCAGGCGGGGUUGCGGUCAUCGACGCCGUGAAGAAGAACUUCGGGCUCAAGGAGACAGACGUGGAGCCAUCGAGGAUGACGCUGCACCGCUGGGGAAACACGUCGACCAGCAGCGUCUGGUACGUGCUUGCGUACAUGGAGGCCAAGGGGAGGCUCAAGAGAGGAGACAGGAUGCUCAUGGUGACCUUCGGGUCGGGCUUCAAGUGCAACACUUGCAUGUGGGAUGUGAAUCGCAAUCUGGCGGACAAGGGUGCGUGGGCCGACUCCAUUGACAAAUACCCAAUGGAGAGCACAGCCAACACGUCCCUGGACAAAUACAGCUGGAUUAACGACACUGAUGACGACUCCAUGCUGUUCUAA